UGGAUGGGGCUGGGAGCACCCUGGGCUGGGGGAAGGGGGCCCUGCCCGGGGCAGGGGGGUGGGACUGGGGGGGCUUUAAGGUCCUUCUAACCCAAACCAGUCUGUGAUAACACAGUCACAUCUGAGAUGUCUUCUGGAAAGCUAAAAAAACCUGUGACCCACCAUUUUGAGAUUUUGCAUAGUGAGCUUAUAGCAUGCCUGUGCUGAAAUUGCUGCUGCCCACCACCACCCCAUGCACGAGAGUGGCCUGACCUGCACGUUAGCCAUGGUAAUGAAAGAGCAGAACUCGCAGUAUAUGUUUAGCCAUGUUUUGAGGUUUGUAUAGCAACCCAGUAUUGACUUUUAAAAAUUGCUCACUUGUUAACAUGAGGGUGUACGGCUUCUUACAGAACACUAUACCAGCAUGUGCUAUUUGUAACUUACUUGCAUUAUCUUCUUCCUUCCAACUUGUUUUUCUUUCCUUUUAGUUAAAUCAUUAAAGGCUGUUGAUCCUUUGCUCCUGCAGUAGUGUUUUGGCCUUGCUAGCUACUGGUCUGACGUGACAUUCAUAGCUGGUUUCUAACCACAGGAGAGCAAUGAAACACCCUUGUACAGCUGGCUGAGAGAACAAAGGCACUGCCACCUGCCUGAGCAGAGGUCCCUGAAAGCAGCAGCUUUGUGCACUACAGGAAGCAGUAACCUCAUUCUUGUACAUCGUUUGCCACCCUGCCUUCCAGUGAGUCAGCAGCAACUCUUGCUACUUCAAAUCUCAGAAAGUUCUGCACUGCCAAUUACAGGGUUGAAAAUCAACUGUCCAUAAACUCAGUACUAGAUGGACUGGUGAUUACGACAGGUGAUAACUUCAGCUGGUGGCAAGAGAAAGAAACUACAUGAAUGAAUACAGACAUCAGUGUAUGGACAGCCACAAAAUCUUAUGCAAAAGACUUUCAGAAUAGAAAAAGGAGGAAAUCAGGCUUUUUAACACAGCCUAACAGGACAACAACUGUUCCAUGUCUGAAUCCUUGGACUUAAAAGUGUGAUCCCCAGUUGAAGCAGGUGUCAAAAAGGUAUUUACAACAUGCUUUAGGAGAGCGACAUCGCAGUUCACUCCUGCCUUAGUGUUUCAUUGCCACAGCACUAACAGCAACCAUACUUUUUAAUAAUUUUGAAAAAUAAUAAAAGGCAAGAAUGUGGUAAUAUAUUGGGGAGAGGGAAAAAAGAAAAAAUGCAUGGAAAAUUAGUUCCUGCUUAUUAUAACUUUUCUCUUUAA